AUUGAACGCUGGCGGCAUGCCUUACACAUGCAAGUCGAACGGUAACGCGGGGCAGCCUGGCGACGAGUGGCGAACGGGUGAGUAAUGCAUCGGAACGUGCCCAGUAGUGGGGGAUAGCUCGGCGAAAGCCGGAUUAAUACCGCAUACGACCUACGGGUGAAAGCGGGGGACCGUAAGGCCUCGCGCUAUUGGAGCGGCCGAUGUCAGAUUAGGUUGUUGGUGGGGUAAAGGCCUACCAAGCCGACGAUCUGUAGCUGGUCUGAGAGGGCGACCAGCCACACUGGGACUGAGACACGGCCCAGACUCCUACGGGAGGCAGCAGUGGGGAAUUUUGGACAAUGGGGGCAACCCUGAUCCAGCCAUGCCGCGUGCGGGAAGAAGGCCUUCGGGUUGUAAACCGCUUUUGUCAGGGAAGAAACGCUUCGAGCUAAUACCUCGAGGUAAUGACGGUACCUGAAGAAUAAGCACCGGCUAACUACGUGCCAGCAGCCGCGGUAAGAC
rnacentral:rRNA from 1 species